GGUAAUGUGGCUCAGUGGUAGAGUGCUUGCCUGGAAUGCAUAAAGCCUGGGGUUCAAUUCCAAGCCCUACAA
rfam:Ictidomys tridecemlineatus contig043087, whole genome shotgun sequence.